UGGGGUAUAUUGGACAAUGGGCGAAAGCCUGAUCCAGCCAUGCCGCGUGUGUGAAGAAGGUCUUCGGAUUGUAAAGCACUUUAAGUUGGGAGGAAGGGCAGUAAGCGAAUACCUUGCUGUUUUGACGUUACCGACAGAAUAAGCACCGGCUAACUCUGUGCCAGCAGCCGCGGUAAUACAGAGGGUGCAAGCGUUAAUCGGAAUUACUGGGCGUAAAGCGCGCGUAGGUGGUUCGUUAAGUUGAAUGUGAAAGCCCCGGGCUCAACCUGGGAACUGCAUCCAAAGCUGGCGAGCUAGAGUAGGGCAGAGGGUGGUGGAAUUAACUGUGUAGCGGUGAAAUGCGUAGGUAUAGGAAGGAACACCAGUGGCGAAGGAGACCACCUGGGCUCAUACUGACACUGAGGUGGGAAAGCGUGGGGAGCAAACAGG
rnacentral:rRNA from 1 species